AAGAAUACUAACCUGUCAUUGUGAUUCUGUCAUAAUUGGAAUAUGUGAGGAGAGACCCCACCCGGGGCAAUCAAAGGUGCAGUAUUUCGCAAGAGAAUAGCCAAAUCACAGCAAGGGUAGCAUAUGGAAGAAAUUUUAAAAGAAUCUGAGAAUAUGGUGGAAGUGGUCAAUCACUAGAUCACGGACUCCUCACUGUGUCCCUCCACUGCAUAAAAGUAGAUGAGAUAUACUGGAUGGACCAGCCUCAAUAUGGAGCUGACCUAAAGUGCUG
rnacentral:lncRNA from 13 species